rnacentral:lncRNA from 1 species
GCUGGAUGCUCCACAUGUGGGCACCGGGGAUGGUCCCACUUGAGGCUUUGAGCUCCGGCGAGGCCACCCUCUGUCCAGCCAGGGGGAGGGUGCCUCUGAGAAGGGGGCUGUCAGAGUUGCCUGAGGAGGGGGCUGGGAUGACCCCUAUCAAUCCCAGUCCUGGGGUUCCUUGGCUCUUGUCCCUCCCUGCAAGUGGGGAGGCCAUGAGAAGUUGUGGGGAAAGGCCCCAGAGACCCCAGGGCAGGGAAGGAGGCCUGGGGGCUGUGCUGGGGCCUGGAAGGGGGAGGCCUUGUGCUGCUCCCUGUGGUCUGACGGGCAGGAGGUUAGAGGGAGGGGCAGGCCUGCUUCCAGCAGGGUGGUCAGUGCAGGGCAGUCAGCGCAGGGCGGAGGUCUGUUUUCUCCUUGGUUAUUUCAGGUAAACCGCAUGCCCCGGGCCCCCAGAGUGGGAGAAAAGCCAGUUCAUGGCCCUCUCCCCACCUUCAGCACUGCCCCUCCCCCCAGUCUCCACCCUGGCAGGGCUGUGGGGCCCGGGGCAUCAGCUGAGCCCACUGGGCCCACAGCACCCUCAGGACCUCGCCACCCCUUGGGACCCACAGGGUAGCAUUCCAGGGCUUCUCCUACACAGGGGGCUCCAUUCGCCCGAAGGCCAAGGACUGCAGAGCUCAUCAAUGACGUCUGCCACUGACAGUCUUGGAGCCCUGUCAAGGGGACCUGUCCUGCGCUGGGCUGUCCACAGAGGAGCAGCGUGGAGGAGCUGGGAGUGCCCAGCCUGCCUGUGGGCUGCAUUGCCGCUUCCUGCCCAGGAGCCCUGCAGCCGUCUGUCCGCCUCUGAGUAGGACAGUGGGGUUUCCUGGCCAGGAGCAGAGUUUGUCACAUUCCAGUUAUGUCUGCCCAAUGUUCAGCUUUUGGUGAGUGUCAAAGAGUCAGCCCCACUCUGCGGGCGGGAGGGGACCUGAGAUGUGAAUCCAGGGGAGUUAAAAGGCUUCGGAAAGCAUCCAAAAGUAUAGAGAAAAAAAGGAUAGUUGAGGGGCUGGGACGAUGCAAGCCUUUUAUUUUCAUCCUUUAACUUUUUUUGCAUUUCUGUAUUUUCCACCAUGAACAAAGCUCAUUGAUAAUAGAGACUGAAAUAUUUCAUGGAUGAUUCAAAGAGAUAAUCUGAAAAGGGAAAUAACGUUUUUCUAGGGUCUGGCUGAAGCUGCCCUGCGGAUUAUGCAAAAACCUGUCUGAGGGAGUGAGAACGCAGAGGCACCUUAGAGCCAGCCAUGGCUCCAAGCUCUGAGGAUCUGCAACAGACACACAUUGGCUGGGCCUGAGCAAAGAGGGAAAGCCACUCUCCUUCAGCAACGAAGGAGUGGGGAUAGCAAGGGCUGAGCUUGUACAUGCACACCUGUGUGCAGCCACACACAUACACCUGUGCACACACAUGCAUAUGCUCAUAUAUGUGCACACAUGCAGGCCCGUGCUCACAUGCAUGCAUACCUCUGUGCCCCCACACUUAAUGCACAUACAUGUGCACAUGCACACCUACACACAUUCCUAUGCACCCACCCAGUGCUCAUGACAAACCUGUGUGUACUUACGUGUGUACAUCCAGAUGCACCCACACACUCGCACACAUGCCUCUACGUGUACGCCCAUGGGCACGUGUGCUCACAGAGGCCUGGAAGGUGCUGUUUUUCCACGCGACGAUGGCUGCCGUGCUCGGUGGGAGCAGCCGCGUUGCUGCCUGUUCCCGUGCCCCAGUCUGGCCGUCACUCCUCACCCUCGUCAGGCUCAGGGUGGGAGGGUGAGUAGCCUGGAGUGGCCUGGUCACGUAGGUGGGCAGCCAGCUGGGGCACUGACCUCCAGAUGGGCCACGAGAGCCCUUCCUGCAUCUUCUGAGUCCCUGACUCAGUGCCCAGUGAGGGUCCCGGAGGGCAAAAGAAUGUCUAACGCUCCACCUGUGGGCGGGUCUGGCCUUACGGAAACUUCUCCAUGGCAGGUGGAGGCCUGGUUGAGUGGAGCAAAGGGCAGGCAUUCCCAGUGAUCAGGAGCUGGGGCCAGGCCUACUGACACCUUGAUGCUGAGGGGCCAGAGCGGUCCUGAGCGAUGUCCCGAAGGCCCAGGGUCUGGGCAGGUGGAGGCAGAUGGACCAAGCAGGGCCUUUGUGUUCCAGGGCACUUUGCAGGCAGCAGGACCCCCAGGUCCUCUGGAGAGGGUGGCUGGAGACCCGGCCUGAAGCUGCUGCCCCCAACACCACAGGAUACCUGCCUGCAGGUGCCAUCCAUUGCUUGGGGGCUGCACAGAGCAGUUUUGAGCAGGCAGUGGGGUGUCACCUUGGAGUGGCUGUGAGAUGUGCGGGACCCUUGGGGGCCACCUGGGGUCAAGCCCAGCCCUGCCUCUUGGGCUCUGGGACCCUGGGGGAGCCACUCCGUGCUCUGUGCCUAGGUCUGUGACCCUGGAGGAGGGCGGUGCUGUCCAUCUCCGGGGACGAUGGUUGCAUCUCAAGGGUAAGGGCCCCAGGCCUGCCAGGUGCUUCGAGUACAGUCCAGGGGCGGCCUCUCGGGGCUGCUCUGGUGGGCGGCCAGACCCUGCUGGAAUGUGACUCUGUUCCUGGGAUCAGGACCUGCCCUGUUGCUUGUGGGCAGGGUUGCCUUUGUCAGGUCCUGCCAUUUCUGAGCCUCAGUUUCCCAAUCUGUGGUGGGGUUGACGUGAGGAAAUGAGAAAUGCACCCAGGGAGCACUGGCUGGCGCUGCAGGGCAGCAAGGGGGAGCCACCAUGGUCACUCUUGGAAAAGUCCCCAGCCCUGCACCAGCAGGGCAGUAAGAAAGUCCACGGCUGCCGCUGUCCUGGAGAGAGGCAGCAGCCCGGGAGAGGCAGCAGCCCUGGCCACACCCCUGCCAAGAGCCAGCUCAGGGGCCCAGGGCCGCUGAGAUCACUGGGCAGUUCCCAGGCUGGCUGGGCUGUCCCCUCGUCAGGAGGGCAGGGCUGGCAGGUUUGUGGACGCCUUCCCAGGCUGACCCCCACAAUAGCCGCCCUGCUCCACCCUGAAUCUACCCGUCCCAGGCUGCGCCUGCCUCCAAGUGCCUGAUUGGAGAUGGCCAAGCCCAUUCCUCAUGUACAAAGAAUUUCCCGAGCAGCCACAGCUGCUGCAGCUGGAACUUGUCUCCAGAUGGGUCGUUCCGAGGGAAACCAGCGUCUCCUGUCUCCUCCUGCAGACAUGGGCUGGCGUCCGAGCCCUGGAUCCCCUGCCCUGGCUUGGCUUCCUCUGGAGGGGAGAUAAGGGGCUCCUGACAUCUUGUAGGCUGAAGAACCCGCCCAGCACGCUGACAGGGAGGCGCCAGAGGCAGCCGCAGACCGGCCUCAGCCCCUGCAGCCCCUCCCCUCUUGUUGUUGCAGAAAGAAGCCCUCAGGGCCCAAGGUCGACCCACCCAGCCAGGGGACUGCUCUGUAGCUGUGGCCCACUCCAGCCAACCCGGGAGUGAGGGGCUCCGAAGCGUGCCCAGCACAUAGGGAGGGCUCAUUCCGGGGGGCACCGUCUCCCAGUCAGAGCAGGCUGGAGCUGGGCACAGCCGAGGAAGAGCAAACGUGUUCUGUCCUUGACUCCUUCUCCAAGUUUGUGAUGGCAUCUGCCAUGGGCCAGACAGGGGCACACGAGAGUGAGCGAGUGGACGUGGCUGCCCUCUGGAGCCUUCCAGGGCGCGAUGGCAGGUGUGGAGAGGCACACAGGGAAACCCUGGAGUCUCGCCGAGGUACAAGGCGAUGCAGAAAGGGCCAGGGAGUUCCCAGAGACUGUCAGGGGCUCCCUGGGCGGAGGCAGAGACCCCCACCUGGCCCCUGGCACCUCCAGCACCAUGGGCGCCCUGGCUAGGGAUCCCUUCCUGUCUGAGGUCAGCGCUGCAAACCUGUGGCUGCGGUUACCCCACCAUGUUUUUUAAAAUUGGAACAAUUCAUGUAAAAGCCCAGAUUCAUUUUUUCUUGAAAAAAAUUGACAGCCAACUGUGACCACAGUGGGCUUGUUUCUACGCAUUGGGGGCUCUUCCCUCGGAACAGGCAGUGCUCUCAGUUGCCGUAGACGCCCCCCACUCCCUGUCAUCUCACCCGGUCCCUGCUGGGCCUCUUUGUGGCCCAUCCCCUGGUUCAGAUAUUUCAUUCAAAGACCCACCCCCCCAGGGGGAGGCCAUCCUUCUCAGGAAGGUCGCUUGGCCUGGACUCGGAACUGGACACUCAUUACUGGUCACCCUGUGACUGGAGCAGGACUUUGCCUUUCUGCACCUCGGUUUCUCCAUCCUAAGAGGGGCUAACGCCUGUGUCGUGGGACUGUCCCGAGGCGCUCAGAAGCAGUAGGCUUGCUCAUGCUUAAGCACAGAGCUCACAGCUGGGGGUGGCCCCUGUGCCACAGGUCCCUGUGUGUGCCCAACUCCCGCUGCAGAGGGCAACGCUGUGUGUGCCCAUGUCUGUGCUGUGGAUGCAAUGUGUAAACUGCACAGCCUUUGACGGUGGCUGCCUGGGUUGGAACGCGGGCCUCUAUGUGUGCUCUCCAACGGCCUGUGGCGGAAGGGCAGCCCCUCCCUUGGUGGGGGAAGUUCUCCAUAGCUUUGGUGCUUGGGAGGUUUGGAGAUGGCUUAGAGAGCCAUCGGGAUGUGAGGGGAUACAUUUAUCUCUGUCUUCUUGGGGACAGACCUCGGAGGUCCCUCUUUCACCCUUAAAGGCCUGGAUGAAUGGAAUCCGUGGGGCAGGAUUCUCAAAGCAAGACUGGUGGGGCCUCACAGGCAUUCCUGGAAAAGGGCUGUGGAGUUAAAAACCCAAGCGGGAAAUAAACAGAACUAGGCUUAGGAAGGGUCUCUCUGGGAGGCCUGUCUGCCCUCCAUCUUUCGUGGGCUCAGGAGCACUGCCUGGGGCUGGGAGCGAGAGCUCGGAUACUUUACGUUCUCUGAGGCGCUGACCGUGGCUCUGCGAGGAGGAGUGUUCCUCCGGACAGACAUCUUUCAGCGGCGCUGGACUAAGCCAUGGGACAGGUCUGACUGUGGCUCUGCGCUCCCCGCCGCCCCAUCUGUUGCCCCCUCCCCACUGAGAGCUGGGGGAGGGACGGGAUCUUUGUGAGCUGACUUGGGGUCUCAGAGCCGCGGGGAGGGAGGAGUGGGGCUCUCCCUGCGCGGGUUCCUUUUCUGGGUGAGGCGGAGCCUGUUCACCAGGCAGAUCGGGGGCUCCCCGGCCUCCACAGAUCUCCUGGUGUCUCCCCCCAGGCUGUUCACACUUUCUUUACUUGGGGGGCUGAUAAGUCACGCAGCUGGCAGCAUUUGCACCUGAUUCAAGGAGGUGAACAUUUUCCCUGGAGAUUAGCCUUGAAGUCAGGGCUGGUCCCCACCCGGGGACGAGGAGAGGACAGAAGGCUACAGAGGGCUGCACCGGGGGAGGGUAGAUGGGGCGUUCACCCACCCCUGCUGCCGCAUUUUCCUUUGUUGGUUUUGCCCGAGGUCUGAUAAGCACCCUGCUCCAGCCAGAGGCCUUAUCUGGCCGCCUAAUCCCCUGGCCUUGGCUGGAGAACACCAGGGCUUUGCCCAGUCCGCCCUCCCUACCCCCUCCCUGGCCCCUGCAGGCCGUUGGGGCUGGGGGUGGAGGGAGAGGGAGGUGGAGUGAAUACCCCCUUCCUCUUGCUCUUUCUCUUCCAACAGGGCAAGGGGUGCCGGUGGUUGAAGAGGCCCCUCUGGGCAGGAACCUCUCACCUGGGGCACGGGUGAGUGGGAGCCAUCCUCCACUGCCCACCUCCCAGCUGUGGCCCUGAGCUGCACUGGCCCUGUGGCCACAGACCAGUUGACCAGGAAGCCCUGGGAAUCAGUAGGAAAUGAGUUUGAGACCCGGUCCUUCACCUUAGGAAAUGAGUUUGAGACCCGGUCCUCCACAUUAGGAAAUGAGUUUGAGACCGGGUCCUCCACACAGGCAUCUGUGCACAUACACUCAGGCUCAGCAGGAGUUUGAGACCAGGUCCUCCACACAGGUUUCUGGGCACAUAGACUCAGGCUUGGCAGGAGGCCCUCCUGGUGCAAGUUCCAGCCCUUCCUUCAUUUUGUGUCUGGAGCAAGUGAGCACCCCAUGUGCCCAGAGUUCUCAUCCAAGAAGUGGGUUGAUGAGCCCAGCCUCGCAGGGAGCUGGGAGGUGGGAAGAGCUCACCCUGGUCUGGCUUGUGGUCCUUACAAUGAUGGCAUCAUUGUCAUCAUCAUCAUCAUCAUCCUCCUCCUUGUCAACCACUUAGAGCUCAUGAAGACAGCUCCCUCCAUCAUGCCCUGUUUUAUAGCUGAAACCAAAGAAUUCAAGCUCCAUAAGGAAGAACCUAGAGGCCCCCCACGUCAGCCUGCCCCAGCCUGGAGCUUACCCACCAUGGAAAUGUGUCUGUUGGCCUUACAGAGGAGAAGGCAUUUGGGCAGGGCUUUGAGGUAUGAGUAGGAGUUUGCUGAAUGAAAUGAGAGGAAAGGGUUUUCAGGGCAGAGGGAACAGGUUGGGGUGGUAAGAAGGGUCCUGAGGCCCAUAGAGAGUGACUGCUAUGAGUGAGUGGUUGGAACUGGCGUGACUGAAGAUGGGGAAGGACAUCUGGGGGUCGGGGGUGCCAGAGGAGUUGGGGAUUUAUCUGGAAGAUGGUGGGUGCUAAGGCAAGAAGAACCAAUUCCUUUUUCUUUUUGCCAAAGCAAAGCCCUCCAUAGGAUUUCCUUUUGGACUUUCUUUUUGAAAGAGUAAUGCACACUGACAGUAACCAUUUAGAUAAUACAGUUUCUAAAAGAAAAGCAAUGAUCCUUUGCCUCUCCCACACCCACCUUUUCCCCACAAGCCCCCAGAAGGCUGGGGGUCUGCUCUCCCUCCCUUGACAGCUGCAGGAUGUUUUGUGGUGGGGUGUGAGGGGCUUUGGCCAGUCCCUGGAGAUGGACGUGCUGGUGUGUCCAGUUUCCCCAGCCCACUUAAAUGGGUGCAGUGAGUGGCCUUUAUAAGUUCCCCGAAGGGGGCGUGUGGGGGACAGUUACAGACAUGUCGUUUAACAAAUGCUGCAGAUCCCCUUCCAGAAGUGAAGAACAUCUCAGCCGUGCCCUGGCAGGCCUGGCUCCUCCCCCUCCACACCUGAAGUUUCUGUUUAAAAUGUUUGGCCACUGGAGGGGUGAAGACACUCACCUGUGCCUGAGGCACUUUAUUAUCCUGACUGAGCGCGCCCUGCACCUCUCACUGUCCUGAAGUGGCUCGGCCCUCGGGCUUCAUCUGGGCCUUCUGUACCUGAGCCUGGGCUUGGCCCAGCGUGGCCAGUGGGCUCCGGGCCCCUCCUGCCAGCCUAGCACUUCUGAGACAGAAGCCUGGCGCAGCAGGCAGGCACCUCUGGACUUUGAGCCUGGGCCCUUGACAGCCAGGGAGAGGGCGACCCCCAGCACACACUACCCUAACCUUUAGCAACGUCCCCACUGCAGAUGGGGGUGCUAGCCUUGAAAGUUGGGUGCCCCAAGGGUUGGGGCAGGAGGGCAAGGGGCCGCCCCAGGGAGGUGGUGCAUGACACAGCCUAUAACAGGCAGUGACUCACUGCUCAUCCAGCCAUAAAGUCAGGGUGAUAGGCUCAGUGUCCCAGCCGUGCUCCCUGGAGUCCCUGCCCCAACGUCAUUCCCUUCUCUGCAGCCUGCGCUGGGCAGAGCUCCCUCCCCAGGGGGGCCGCCUGGGCCACUCUGGGACCAUCCACCCAUUCCAGACCCACCCAUUCCAACUCACUUGCUACUGCUGGGGAGACUGAGUGCCAGGGAGGGGGAGCAAGGGUAGAUGGAGAACUAACAGUGUCAGAGUCCACAGGUCAUCUGUCCCCCACUUUACAGUGUGGACUGCGGGAGGGGAUCCCAGUGUGGGCUGCAGAGCUCAGGGCCAGGAUGCUCGGCCUGUCCAGGCUGCGAUCUGGAGGAAGCGGGUACUCUCUGCUUAGCCCAGGGCCUUCCACGCUCCUGGGGGCUGCGGGGACAGAUCCAAGAACAUGGGCCCUGGGGCCAUGGUGUCCGAUUCAACCCACGCUUCCUCCCUGUUGACACCGGGCAACUUGCUGAGCCGCUCCGUGCCUCAGUUUCCUCGUCUGUAAAGUGGGAUUCAUAGUAGCUCCUUCCCGACUGGGCUGUCUGGGGAUUGGUGAGUGAUGCCGUGGGGCAGGAUCAUGAUUUACGGGGUGCCUGUAUGUUCUCCCAGAGACGGGAAGGGCCCUGAGGGGUGACUCCUCACCAGAUAGCGGGGUCUCCCAGGGACUAAGCAGGUGGGAGGGAUGGGCGCUGCCCUACUGUGCAGAGCCUUGGCGGGAUCCCUUGACGCUGUCCCCAGGCUCUGCGGGGCCAGGAAUAGGGCCACUGGGCCUGGGGUCCUUGUAGUUCAAGGGUCACCCUGAACUGCGGGGCUCUAACUAUAGAGACCCUGGGGCAGUGACGCCUGUGCAACCUGCCCGCCUGUCACUCCCUCCCCCAACCCCUCACACUUGCCCUGCCUCCUUGACCUGCCCUGCCCACCCCUCACCCUCACCCUCACGCUGCCCCCUUAUCCCGCCCCUGGCACCUGCCCUGCCCUUCCCCUCCUGUGAUGGUUAAUACUGAGUGUCAACUUGAUUGGACUGAAGGAUGCAAAGUAUCGAUCCUGGGUGUGUCUGUGAGUGUGUUGCCAAAGAAGAUUAACAUUUGAGUCAGUGGCUGGGAAAGGCAGACCCAUCCUUAAUCUGGGUGGGCACCAUCUAAUCAGCUGCCAGCUCUGCUAGAAUAUAAAGCAGGCAGAAAAACGUGAAAAGGCUAGACUGGCCUAGCCUCCCAGCCUACAGCUUUCUCUGUGCUGGAUGCUUCCUGCCCUCGAACAUUGGACUCCAAGUUCUUCAGCUUUGGGGCUCAGACUGGCUCUUCUUGCUCCUCAGCCUGCAGACGGCCUAUUAUGAGACCUUGUGAUCACAUGAGUUAAUACUCCUUAAUAAAGCCGC